AUAUUGCACAAUGGGCGCAAGCCUGAUGCAGCCAUGCCGCGUGGGUGAAGAAGGCCUUCGGGUUGUAAAGCCCUUUUGUUGGGAAAGAAAAGCAGUCGGUUAAUACCCUAUUGUUCUGACGGUACCCAAAGAAUAAGCACCGGCUAACUUCGUGCCAGCAGCCGCGGUAAUACGAAGGGUGCAAGCGUUACUCGGAAUUACUGGGCGUAAAGCGUGCGUAGGUGGUCGUGUAAGGCUGUUGUGAAAGCCCUGGGCUCAACCUGGGAAAUGCAGUGGAAACUGGACGACUAGAGUGUGGUAGAGGGUAGCGGAAUUCCUGGUGUAGCAGUGAAAUGCGUAGAGAUCAGGAGGAACAUCCAUGGCGAAGGCAGCUACCUGGACCAACACUGACACUGAGGCACGAAAGCGUGGGGAGCAAAC
rnacentral:rRNA from 1 species